UUUUUUUUUUUUUUUUUACUCAUCAGAGUGAAUGGCUGGCGUGAUAGCCUUAACACAUGCAAGUUCGAAUAGCAUGACGCACUCACGAGGCACUGCUCUCUGGGUGGCGAGUGGCGGACGGGUGAGGAAUACAUCGGAAUCUACCUGGUCGUGGGGGAUAACGUAAGGAAACUUACGGUAUUACCGCAUAUGACCUACGGGUGAAAGUGGAGGACCGCAAGACCUCACGCGAUUCGAUGAGCCGAUGUCCGAUUAGCUAGUUGGCGGGGUAAUGGCCCACCAAGGCGACGAUCGGUAGCUGGUCUGAGAGGAUGAUCAUCCACACUGGAUCUGAGACACGGUCCAGACUCAUACGGGAGGCAGCAGUGGGGAAUAUUGGACAAUGGGCGCAAGCCUGAUCCAGCCAUACCGCGUGGGUGAAGAAGGCCUUCGGGUUGUAAAGCCCUUUUGUUGGGAAAGAAAUCCUAUCGGUUAAUAACCGGUGGGGAAGACGGUACCCAAAGAAUAAGCACCGGGUAAAUUUUUGCCAGCACCCGCGGUAAUACGAAGGGGGCAAGCGUUACUUUGAAUUACUGGGCGUAAAGCGUGCGUAGGUGGUGGCUUAAGUGUCCUGUGAAAGCCCCGGGCUCUACCUGGGAAUUGCACUGGAUAUUGGAUCACUAGAGUGUGGUAGAGGGAUGAGGAAUUUUUGGUGUAGCAGUGAAAUGUUUAGAGAUCAGAAGGAACAUCCGUGGGGAAGGCGGCAUCCUGGGCCAACACUGACACUGAGGCACGAAAGCGUGGGGAGCAAACACGAUUAGAUACCCCGGUAGUCCACGCCCUAAACGAUGCGAACGGAUGUUGGGUGCAACUUGGCACCCAGUAUCGAAGCUAACGCGUUAAGUAUCCGCAUGGAGAAU
rnacentral:rRNA from 1 species